rnacentral:lncRNA from 13 species
UACUGUAUUAUAUUUUGAGUCCUAUUGAGAAAGUCAGCCCUGGGCACCAUUCUAUUCUAUUCAAAGGGCCCCACUGAACAAAUGUACAGUGAAGUGGAAAAAAUGAUUGUGACAAAAUAUGUAUUCUUUGAGUAAGUAGGGAGAUUUCAUCCUCUUGAUAUAAUGUGUGAGGGAACAUCUGUAGGUAAUGUGAGGGAACAUCUGUAUGUGAUUUCUAUAAUGGAAUAUCUGGUUAAUGUCUCGGUCUUCUCCGGUUGGAUUGUCUCGGUCACCUUUCUUAGCAUGGUCAAUGUUCAAAAUUAAAAUGAAGGCCGUCAUAGCACAACGGCACCCUCUUGACAAGCCUGUCAAUUCCCCAGAGGACAUCAUACGCAAAUGGCUGGGGACCAUAUUUCCUGGGAACAUUUCUGUGCGUGACAUCUUUGUGUCAUCUCCAAGGUAGUUUCAUGUGUCAAUUGAACGGAAUUGUCCAUUGGAAUAUAAUGUACAGCAUUGCUUGAAUGGGGAGGGUGUUUUUGUAUGUGUGUGUGUGUGUGUGUGUGUGUAUGUGUGUGUGUGUGUGCAUGCGUAUGUGCGUACGUGUGUGUAAGUGUGAGUGUAUGUUUGCGGGUGCUUGUAUGUGCGUGUACUAUAGCGAAGCCAUAUCUAUAUGAGAAACCAACAUAAAGAACAAAACUGUCUAGACUUUCAACAUACAUCACAUCUUGUGUGAAUGUAGAUGAUGUGUGUAUGUGUGUGUUGAAGCAACCUAGAACAUUGAAAUGAACACUGCGUGGACACAUGCCCCUUAGCCUAAUCUCUAGUGUUAUCUGUGUUCCCACACAGCCAGAUCUGUCAAGUGGGCUAUAAUCCUAGUGUGCGAAACACAGAGAAAGCUCAGGAAGCAAGAAAAAUGGAGUUCAACUCAACUUCUGACAAGUGUGUCAGCUGUUUGGUCUAUGUGAGUGUUAGUCCUGAGACUGAUGUUGGAGCGGCCCAGAAGGAUAUCUUUGGAAAGCUGAGUCUAGCCUUCACCUCUGGCCAAGUCACCCUUAUUGCAGACCCCAGCAGCCUCAGUGUACGCCCCAUAGGGGCUUUCCCCAAUGCAACAGCUUCUCCUCCCACUGACACCAACACCACUGCUGGCUCACCAACCAGCACCACUGCUGGCUCACCAACCAGAACUACUACUGGCUCACCAACCAGCACCACUGCUGGCUCACCAAACAGCACCACUGCUGGCUCACCAACCAGCACCACUGUUGGCUCACCAACCAGCACCACUGCUGGCUCACCAACCAGAACCACUGUUGGCUUACCAACCAGAACCACUGCUGGCGCACCAACCAGAACUACUACUGGCUCACCAACCAGCACCACUGCUGGCUCACCAACCAGAACCACUGCUGGCUUACCAACCAGAACCACUGCUGGCCCACCAACCAGAACUACUACUGGCUCACCAACCAGAACUACUACCUGCUCACCAACCAGCACUACUGCAUCAGGUGACACAGUUAUUUCAUAA